rnacentral:tRNA from 1 species
GGGUGGUUAGCUCAGCUGGUAGAGCAGCGGACUUUUAAUCCGUUGGUCGUGGGUUCGAAUCCCACACCGCCCA